rnacentral:rRNA from 1 species
GACGAACGCUGGCGGCGUGCUUAACACAUGCAAGUCGAACGGAAAGGCCCUGCUUUUGUGGGGUGCUUGAGUGGCGAACGGGUGAGUAACACGUGAGUAACCUGCCCUUGACUUUGGGAUAACUUCAGGAAACUGGGGCUAAUACCGGAUAGGAGCUCCUGCUGCAUGGUGGGGGUUGGAAAGUUUCGGCGGUUGGGGAUGGACUCGCGGCUUAUCAGCUUGUUGGUGGGGUAGUGGCUUACCAAGGCUUUGACGGGUAGCCGGCCUGAGAGGGUGACCGGCCACAUUGGGACUGAUAUACGGCCCAGACUCCUACGGGAGGCAGCAGUGGGGAAUAUUGCACAAUGGGCGGAAGCCUGAUGCAGCAACGCCGCGUGCGGGAUGACGGCCUUCGGGUUGUAAACCGCUUUCGCCUGUGACGAAGCGUGAGUGACGGUAAUGGGUAAAGAAGCACCGGCUAACUACGUG